rnacentral:tRNA from 3 species
UGAGCAGUCGCCAAGCGGUUAAGGCACUGGACUUUGACUCCAGUAUCGUGGGUUCAAUUCCCACCUGCUCAGCCA